GACGAACGCUGGCGGCGUGCUUAACACAUGCAAGUCGAACGCAGUGGCGAACGGGUGAGUAACGCGUAAUCAACCUGCCCUUCAGAGGGGGACAACAGUUGGAAACGACUGCUCAUACCCCAUACUGAGGGAGGGCACGCAGUCGGAUUAGCUAGUUGGAGGGGUAACGGCCAACCAAGGCGAUGUUUGGUAGCCGGGCUGAGAGGAUGAACGGCCAAAUUGGGACGGAGACACGGGCCAGACUCCUACGGGAGGCAGCAGUGGGGAAUCUUCCGCAAUGGACGAAAGGCUGACGGAGCAACGCCGCGUGAGUGAUGACGGCCUUCGGGUUGUAAAGCUCUGUUAAUCGGGACGCGGUACCGGAAUAGAAAGCCACGGCUAACUACGUGCCAGCAGCCGCGGUAAUUC
rnacentral:rRNA from 1 species